rnacentral:sRNA from 1 species
CUUGGUCAUUUAGAGGAAGUAAAAGUCGUAACAAGGUCUCCGUUGGUGAACCAGCGGAGGGAUCAUUACUGAGUACUACACUCACUACCCUUUGUGAACUAUUAUACCUGUUGCUUCGGCGGCGCCCGCAAGGGUGCCCGCCGGUCUCAUCAGAAUCUCUGUUUUCGAACCCGACGAUACUUCUGAGUGUUCUUAGCGAACUGUCAAAACUUUUAACAACGGAUCUCUUGGCUCCAGCAUCGAUGAAGAACGCAGCGAAACGCGAUAUGUAAUGUGAAUUGCAGAAUUCAGUGAAUCAUCGAAUCUUUGAACGCACAUGGCGCCUUCCAGUAUCCUGGGAGGCAUGCCUGUCCGAGCGUCGUUUCAACCCUCGAGCCCCCGUGGCCCGGCGUUGGGGAUCUGCCACGGCAGGCCCCUAAAACCAGUGGCGGACCCGAAGGGCCCUCUCCUUUGCGCAGUAGCAUUAGCCUCGCAUCGGGAGCCCUCGGCGUCCUGCCUCUAAACCCCCCCCAAAGCCCGCUCCGGCGGCACCAAGGUUGACCUCGGAUCAGGUAGGAAUACCCGCUGAACUUAAGCAUAUCAAUAAGCGGAGGAAAAGAAACCAACAGGGAUUGCCUCAGUAACGGCGAGUGAAGCGGCAACAGCUCAAAUUUGAAAUCUGGCUCCUUCGGGGCCCGAGUUGUAAUUUGCAGAGGAUGCGUCGGGUACGGGUUCCUUCCGAGUUCCCUGGAACGGGACGCCAUAGAGGGUGAGAGCCCCGUCUGGUAGGAAACCCAGCCCAUGUGACGCUCCCUCGACGAGUCGAGUUGUUUGGGAAU